UGGGUGGGUGGAUGAGUGGCGAACGAGAUGAGAUCACGGGAGUAACCUGCCCCUGACUUCGAGAUAAGCCUGGGAAACUGGGUCUAAUACCGGAUAUGAGCAUCUUUCGCAUGUUGGAAGGUGGAAAGUGUUUCGGUUGGGGAUGGGCUCGCGUCCUAUGAGGUUGGGGGUGGGGUAAUGACCUACCAAGACGACGACCGGUAGCCAGACUGAGAGGGUGACCGUCCACACUGGAACUGACACACGACCCAGACUCAUACGGGAGGCAGCAAUGGGGAAUAUUGGGCAAGGGGCGAAACCCUGAUGCACCUACGCGGCGUGGGGGAUGACAGGCUUCGGGCUGUAAACGUCUUUCAGGAGGGAAGAAGCCAUUGGGUGACGGUACCUGCAUAAGAAGUAUCGGCUAACUACGUGCCAGCAGUCGCGGUGAUGCGUAGGGUACAAGCGUUGUCCGGAAUUAUUGUGCGUAAAGAGCUCGUACGUGGUUUGUCGCGUCGUCUGUGAAAUUCCGGGGCUUAUCUCCGGGCGUGCAGGCGAUACGGGCAUAACUUGAGUACUGUAGGGGAGACUGGAAUUCCUGGUGUAGCGGUGAAAUGCGCAGAUAUCAGGAGGAACACCGGUGGCGAAGGCGGGUCUCUGGGCAGUAACUGACGCUGAGGAGCGAAAGCAUGGGGAGCGAACAGGAUUAGAUACCCUGGUAGUCCAUGCCGUAAACGGUGGGCGCUAGGUGUGGGUUUCCUUCCACGGGAUCCGUGCCGUAGCUAACGCAUUAAGCGCCCCGCCUGGGGAGUACGGCCGCAAGGCUAAAACUCAAAGGAAUUGACGGGGGCCCGCACAAGCGGCGGAGCAUGUGGAUUAAUUCGAUGCAACGCGAAGAACCUUACCUGGGCUUGACAUAUACAGGAUCGCGCCAGAGAUGGUGUUUCCCUUGUGGCUUGUAUACAGGUGGUGCAUGGUUGUCGUCAGCUCGUGUCGUGAGAUGUUGGGUUAAGUCCCGCAACGAGCGCAACCCUUGUCUUAUGUUGCCAGCACGUUGUGGUGGGGACUCGUAAGAAACUGCCGGGGUUAACUCGGAGGAAGGUGGGGAUGACGUCAAAUCAUCAUGCCCCUUAUGUCCAGGGCUUCACACAUGCUACAAUGGUCGGUACAGUGGGUUGCCAGUCCGUGAGGGCGAGCUAAUCCCGCAAAGCCGGUCUCAGUUCGGAUCGGGGUCUGCAACUCGACCCCGUGGAGUCGGAGUCGCUAGUAAUCGCAGAUCAGCAACGCUGCGGUGAAUACGUUCCCGGGCCU
rnacentral:rRNA from 1 species